UACGUAGGUGGCGAGCGUUGUCCGGAUUUACUGGGCGUAAAGAGCGCGCAGGCGGUCGGAUCAGUCGAAUGUGAAAGCCCCCGGCUUAACUGGGGAGGGUCAUUCGAUACUGUUCGACUCGAAGGCAGGAGAGGGAAGUGGAAUUCCCGGUGUAGUGGUGAAAUGCGUAGAUAUCGGGAGGAACACCAGUGGCGAAGGCGGUUGCCUGGAGCUUUGCUGACGCUGAUGCGCGAAAGCGUGGGGAGCAAACAGG
rnacentral:rRNA from 1 species